rnacentral:lncRNA from 1 species
CUCUUUCUCUCCUCUCCUCCCUUCCCUUCUUCCCUGGGCCCUGGGACCCCUUUCCUUGGGUCCUGUCAUCUGGAGGAAAGAUGAGGAAACUGAAGCUCAGUUGCUUACCUGAAUUGCUCAGAGCCACACACCUACAAAGCAGUGGAGCUAACCUACCUGACUUUCAGACCACCGCUGCUUCCUCCAGGGCAGCCAGCGCCACAUGUAGCCACUGAGAUGUUGGAAGGAAGUGGAUCCAAACUGAGACGAGCCAUGUGACAUAAAUGCUGGGCUUCUGUGACUUUGCAUGAAGAAAACAAUGUACACUAUCUUACUAAUAAUUUUAACAUAGGUUUUGUGUUGAAAUGACAUUGGGCUAAAGAGAAUAUAUUAUUUAGAUUGACUUACCCUGUUUCUACUUAUUUUUUAAUGUGACUACUAGAAACUUAAAAUUCCACAUGGGGCUCCUAUUUUAUCUCUAUUGCACAGUACUGGAACUAGAUUAUUGGCCAGAGGAAAGACUGUCAAUUCUGGCUCAUUCACCAAAAACUAAUUCAUCCAGCAAUGUACAACAUUUGUAUCUAAUGAAAUUAUUUCUAACACUUUUUAAAAAUUUGUCCUCUUGAA